AGUGAACGCUGGCGGUAGGCCUAACACAUGCAAGUCGAACGGCAGCACAGUAAGAGCUUGCUCUUACGGGUGGCGAGUGGCGGACGGGUGCGGAAUACAUCGGAAUCUACUUUUUCGUGGGGGCUAACGUAGGGAAACUUACGCUAAUACCGCAUACGACCUACGGGUGAAAGCAUGGGAUCUUCGGACCUUGCGCGAUUGAAUGAGCCGAUGUCGGAUUAGCUAGUUGGCGGGGUAAAGGCCCACCAAGGCGACGAUCCGUAGCUGGUCUGAGAGGAUGAUCAGCCACACUGGAACUGAGACACGGUCCAGACUCCUACGGGAGGCAGCAGUGGGGAAUAUUGGACAAUGGGCGCAAGCCUGAUCCAGCCAUACCGCGUGGGUGAAGAAGGCCUUCGGGUUGUAAAGCCCUUUUGUUGGGAAAGAAAAGCAGCAGGUUAAUACCCCGCUGUUCUGACGGUACCCAAAGAAUAAGCACCGGCUAACUUCGUG
rnacentral:rRNA from 1 species